UACGUAGGGGGCAAGCGUUAUCCGGAAUUACUGGGUGUAAAGGGUGCGUAGGCAGCACGCCAAGUCAGUUGUGAAACCCGUAGGCUCAACCUACGGCUUGCAAUUGAAACUGGCGAGCUAGAGUACAGGAGAGGAAAGCGGAAUUCCUAGUGUAGCGGUGAAAUGCGUAGAUAUUAGGAAGAACACCGGUGGCGAAGGCGGCUUUCUGGACUGAAACUGACGCUGAGGCACGAAAGCGUGGGGAGCAAACAGG
rnacentral:rRNA from 1 species